GACGAACCGGUCGAGCGUUACUCGGAAUUACUGGGCUUAAAGGGUGCGUAGGCGGCAUGGAAAGUUGGGUGUGAAAUACCUCGGCUCAACCGAGGAACUGCGCCCAAAACUACCAUGCUUGAGAAAGGCAGAGGUGAGUGGAACUUGGGGUGGAGCGGUGAAAUGUGUUGAUAUCCUAAGGAACACCGGUGGCGAAGGCGACUCACUGGGCCUUUACUGACGCUGAGGCACGAAAGCUAGGGUAGCGAACGGG
rnacentral:rRNA from 1 species